rnacentral:rRNA from 1 species
AACGAACGCUGGCGGCAGGCUUAACACAUGCAAGUCGAACGCAUCCUUCGGGGUGAGUGGCAGACGGGUGAGUAACGCGUGGGAACGUGCCCUUCAGUUCGGGAUAACCCAGGGAAACUUGGGCUAAUACCGGAUACGUGCGAGAGCAGAAAGAUUUAUCGCUGAAGGAGCGGCCCGCGUCUGAUUAGCUAGUUGGUGGGGUAAUGGCCCCCCAAGGAGACGAUCAGUAGCUGGUCUGAGAGGAUGAUCAGCCACAUUGGGACGGAGACACGGCCCAAACUCCUACGGGAGGCAGCAGUGGGGAAUAUUGGACAAUGGGCGCAAGCCUGAUCUAGCCAGGCCGCGUGAGUGAUGAAGGCCUUAGGGUUGUAAAGCUCUUUCGUCCGGGACGAUAAUGACGGUACCGGAAGAAGAAGCCCCGGCUAACUUCGUGCCAGCAGCCGCCGUAA